UAUACAUGCAAGUCGAGCGGACAGAUGGGAGCUUGCUCCCUGAUGUUAGCGGCGGACGGGUGAGUAACACGUGGGUAACCUGCCUGUAAGACUGGGAUAACUCCGGGAAACCGGGGCUAAUACCGGAUGGUUGUUUGAACCGCAUGGUUCAAACAUAAAAGGUGGCUUCGGCUACCACUUACAGAUGGACCCGCGGCGCAUUAGCUAGUUGGUGAGGUAACGGCUCACCAAGGCAACGAUGCGUACCCGACCUGAAAGGGUGAUCGGCCACCCUGGAACUGAAACACGGCCCAAACUCCUACGGAAGGCAGCAUAAGGGAAUCUUCCGAAAGGAACAAAGUUCUUACGGACCACCGCCGCGUGAGGGUUAAAGGUUUUCGAAUCUUAAAGCUCUGUUGUAAGGGAAAAACAAUUACCGUUCGAAUAGGUGGGAACCUGGCCGCACCCUACCCCGAAGCCCUCGGCUAACUACUUCCCACCACCGCGGGAAUACCGAAGUGGCUCGCGAAUUAUCGGAGUUUAUGGGCUCAAAGGGGUCUCAUUCGCUUUCUCAUAAUCUCAUCUGAAAACCCCCGGGACUCCCCGGGAGGGGCAUUGAAAACUGUGGAAAAUGAGAGCGCAAAACAAGAGUGGAAUUCCACAUGUAGUGCUGAAAUGCGUCAACAUGUGGAGGAACACCACUCGCUAAGCUGACUCUGUGGUCUGCAGCUGACGCUGAGGAAGCAAAGCGUGCUAGAGUCAACAGGCAUUACAUACCCUGCCAGUCCUCGCCAAUAAUCAAUGAGUGCUCCGCUGUUAGGGGGGUUUCCGUCCCCUUACAGCCACUCCUAACGCAUUAAGCGCUCCACCUGGGGAGUACAGUGACUUAGACUGAGACCUCAAAGGGACUUGACAGCGGGUCCGUCAAAAUCGAAUGGAAGCAGGAGGACUUUAUCUCGAACUCAACGCGCACUAACCAUUCCCAGGGACUUGGACAUCCCUCUGCACAAUCCUAAUGGAUAGGGACGGUCCCCUUUCGGCGGGCAGAACUGAACAGUAGGAAGCAUGGGUUG
rnacentral:rRNA from 1 species